rnacentral:rRNA from 1 species
UACGAGGGGUGCAAGCGUUGCUCGGAAUUAUUGGGCGUAAAGGGUUGGUAGGUGGUCUUGUUUGUCUAGGGUGAAAUCCCAUGGCUUAACUGUGGAAGUGCCCUAGAAACGGCAAGACUAGAGUCCUAGAGGGGUUUGUGGAAUUCCCGGUGUAGCGGUGAAAUGCGUAGAUAUCGGGAAGAACACCAGUGGUGAAAGCGGGGACCUGGGUCGAGACUGACGCUGAGGAGCGAAAGCGUGGGGAGCAAACAGG